GCGUGUGUGAAGAAGGCCUUAUGGUUGUAAAGCACUUUAAGCGAGGAGGAGGCUCCUAUAGUUAAUACCUAUAGUGAGUGGACGUUACUCGCAGAAUAAGCACCGGCUAACUCUGUGCCAGCAGCCGCGGUAAUACAGAGGGUGCGAGCGUUAAUCGGAUUUACUGGGCGUAAAGCGUGCGUAGGCGGCUUUUUAAGUCGGAUGUGAAAUCCCCGAGCUUAACUUGGGAAUUGCAUUCGAUACUGGGAAGCUAGAGUAUGGGAGAGGAUGGUAGAAUUCCAGGUGUAGCGGUGAGAUGCGUAGAGAUCUGGAGGAAUACCGAUGGCGAAGGCAGCCAUCUGUCCUAAUACUGACGCUGAGGUACGAAAGCAUGGGGAGCAAACAGGAUUAGAUACCCUGGUAGUCCAUGCCGUAAACGAUGUCUACUAGCCGUUGGGGCCUUUGAGGCUUUAGUGGCGCAGCUAACGCGAUAAGUAGACCGCCUGGGGAGUACGGUCGCAAGAC
rnacentral:rRNA from 1 species